UUUGAUGAAUGUUGUCUUUUGUAACUAAUUAAUUAGUGUAAUGUUAGAUGUCUUGACAAAAAUCUAAGCUAUCAAAGAUGACAUAAAUUUAAAGUUCAUUAUGCAUCCAAGUUGUUUGAUAAUAUGCCUCGCUUAACUUAUUUGAAGUUUCAUGUUGUCAUUUUCCUUUUUCAGGUUGUAGCGGGAUUAUCUUUAUCAGCAAACUGAGUGAAGUCAAUUUGAGAAGAAAGUCAAUUUAUUUUGUCUUAGUAAUUCUGGGACUAUUGUUUAAGACUUGGGGCACUAAACACACAAGGUAUUAUCAUCAAUUAUUUUCUUAUUGAUAUUCUUUUUGUUUUGUUUUGAUCAACAAUGUAACUUUGAGUACGUUUUGUAUAUUUAUUAGUAUUUCAUUUUCAACUUUUGUAGAAAGCAUAUUUCAAC
rnacentral:lncRNA from 1 species